rnacentral:tRNA from 1 species
UUGGUAGCUCAGUCGGUAGAGCAACGGACUGAAAAUCCGUGUGUCGGCGGUUCGAUUCCGUCCCAA